AUUGAACGCUGGCGGCAUGCUUUACACAUGCGAGUCGAACGGUAACAGGCCUUCGGGUGCUGACGAGUGGCGCACGGGUGAGUAAUGCAUCGGAACGUGCCCAGAGGUGGGGGAUAACGCAGCGAAAGCUGUGCUAAUACCGCAUGUGAUCUGAGGAUGAAAGCGGGGGACCAGGCAGCAAUGUUUGGCCUCGCGCCUUUGGAGCGGCCGAUGUCAGAUUAGGUAGUUGGUGGGGUAAAGGCCUACCAAGCCGACGAUCUGUAGCUGGUCUGAGAGGACGACCAGCCACACUGGGACUGAGACACGGCCCAGACUCCUACGGGAGGCAGCAGUGGGGAAUUUUGGACAAUGGGCGCAAGCCUGAUCCAGCAAUGCCGCGUGCGGGAAGAAGGCCUUCGGGUUGUAAACCGCUUUUGUACGGAACGAAAAGGCUCUGGCUAAUACCUGGGGCUGAUGACGGUACCGUAAGAAUAAGCACCGGCUAACUACGUG
rnacentral:rRNA from 1 species